CGGGAUGUAGCUCAGUUUGGUAGAGCGUUCGGUUCGGGAUCGAAAGGCCGAAGGUUCAAGUCCUUUCAUCCCGACCA
rnacentral:tRNA from 1 species